rnacentral:rRNA from 1 species
GAUGAACGCUGGCGGCGUGCCUAAUACAUGCAAGUCGAGCGAACAGACGAGGAGCUUGCUCCUCUGAUGUUAGCGGCGGACGGGUGAGUAACACGUGGAUAACCUACCUAUAAGACUGGGAUAACUUCGGGAAACCGGAGCUAAUACCGGAUAAUAUAUUGAACCGCAUGGUUCAAUAGUGAAAGACGGUUUUGCUGUCACUUAUAGAUGGAUCCGCGCUGCAUUAGCUAGUUGGUAAGGUAACGGCUUACCAAGGCGACGAUGCAUAGCCGACCUGAGAGGGUGAUCGGCCACACUGGAACUGAGACACGGUCCAGACUCCUACGGGAGGCAGCAGUAGGGAAUCUUCCGCAAUGGGCGAAAGCCUGACGGAGCAACGCCGCGUGAGUGAUGAAGGUCUUCGGAUCGUAAAACUCUGUUAUUAGGGAAGAACAAAUGUGUAAGUAACUGUGCACGUCUUGACGGUACCUAAUCAGAAAGCCACGGCUAACUACGUG